rnacentral:lncRNA from 1 species
AGACGGCAUCAACUGAGAGCUUUGCUCAUCUUGGUAAGGCUGUAAAGCUCCAAUCCAACAAAAUAUUUGACGCUCAUUGACAGUGUUGCUGAUCUUUCAUUAACUAAUCCAUCUCCCUUUUAAUUCUCAUCUUAUUUGUAUAUCUGUCAAGAACAAAAUGAUGGGGGUGCUACGAUGUUAGCUCUGCCAUUCAACGUUUCCACAGGCUAAGCUAGCAAGCAUGAUAAAAAGGAGAAGAUUGUGAAAGCCUGAAAGGAGUAGUAGCAUGCAUGCAUGCAGUGCAGCCAGGCCAAGCCAAACAAGAAUGCUUUUCCAUGGACUGACGACAAACACAAGCUGCAUCUACACAAAUUCAUGUCCAACCCUGUAGCAGACAGGCAAUGUUCUGCAGUUGUCUCGUCACCUCCUCUGUAGGGACUCGCUACAGUCACCACACGGACCUUGCACAUGAACUCAGGCAAAUAUAUCAUCACAUGAACUGUAAAAGAUUGAUCUACUAGAUGGACA